rnacentral:rRNA from 1 species
CUACGGAGGAUCCGAGUGUUAUCCGGAUUUAUUGGGUUUAAAGGGUGCGCAGGCGGCCAUUUAAGUCAGCGGUUAAAUCGUGGGGCUCAACCCCAUUCUGCCGUUGAUACUGGGUGGCUUGAUUGCGGUCGAGGUUGGCGGAAUUCGUUGUGUAGCGGUGAAAUGCAUAGAUAUGACGAAGAACACCGAUUGCGUAGGCAGCUGACCAGACCGCAAAUGACGCUCAUGCACGAGAGUGCGGGGAUCGAACAGGAUUAGAUACCCUGGUAGUCCGCACAGUAAACGAUGAAUACUUGUUUUCGGCGAUAUAAUGUCGGAGGCAAAGCGAAAGCGAUAAGUAUUCCACCUGGGGAGUACGCCGGCAACGGUGAAACUCAAAUGAAUUGACGGGG